GGCAGUGGUGUGAAGGAGGAAAGGAAGUGGGAGCGAGCAGCUGAAGCAGGAAGACCAAUAAAAAGACUGCUGAAAUGGUCUGUGUGAAGAUGCUGCGAGCUGGAAAGAGGUCAGAGCAGCCAGGCAGGAAGCAGAGGAAUGGUGGCAUACAAUUUCCAAGACUGGUACCUGAGUUGGAGAAGCAGGGGAGAAGUUCAGGAAGAACUGGAACAGAAGAGAAGGAGCCAUUAAUUGCUUUUUCAAGAUAUGUCUGAAGCGAGGACAAAAGCAAAGAACUUCAUUUGGGAAUUUGGUGUAGUGAUAAAGGAGGGAAGAGAGAAAGCAGAAGUGCCCAGUGGCUUUUUCCUUCUGCGCUAUUCAACAAGGCAGCCCAGUGUUCAACCCUAAAGAAGGUAAAACAAACAACGCAAAGAGGGAAUUUCAGUUUCAGAUAGGCUCUUGCCUAUUGAGCUAGUGAGAGACAGCCUAGUCACUUCAAGUGGCCUCAAGAAUCCAGGCCAGUAUGAAUUGGAUUACAGGGCCUCAAGGAAUUUCAGAAUCACUAACAGUCAUCUUUGAGAGAUUAUGAGAAGCAGAAAAAUAAUAAUGGAAGACUGAGGAGAGUAAGGGAUUGUCAGAGAAAGUAAUAUUUGCUCUUUGCUGCUACAGAGAACCAAAGCAAAACCAAUGAAUUUCAGUUAUAAAUAGAUAUGAGUGUCAAUGAAAGGAGGGAAGUUAUAUGUGGAAUCUUAAAAAGGUGGUGGGGGGCGGGUGUACAAAUGAACUUAUUUGCAAAACAGAAAUAGAGUUACAGAUGUAGUAAACAAACUUAUGGUUACGGGGUCGGAGGGGAGAGGAGAAGGAUAAGUUGGGAGACUGGGAUUGAGACACACACACUACUAUACAUAAAGAGAUAACUAAUAAGGACCUACUGUACAGCACAGGGAACUCUACUCAAUACUGUGUAAUGACCUAUAUGGGAAAAGAAUCUACAAAAGAGUGGAUAUAUGUACAGCCGAUUCACUCUGUUGUAGAUCAAAAAGUAAUACAACAUUGUCAAUCAACUAUACACCAAUAAAAAAUUAAUUAGAAAAGAAAAAAAGCA
rnacentral:lncRNA from 1 species